rnacentral:rRNA from 1 species
AAGCGCUGGCAACCAGACUUGUGUGCGGGGGUUCCCCCUUGCUUCUGCUUGGGCUACUCCCCCGUAUCCAGGCCAACAUCGGUUUUGGCGGCCGGUUAAAGGCCUUGGGAAUGUAUCUUCCUCCGGGAAGACUUAUAGCCC